rnacentral:rRNA from 1 species
GAACGAACGCUGGCGGCGUGCCUAACACAUGCAAGUCGAGCGCGAAAGUCCCUUCGGGGGUGAGUAGAGCGGCGGACGGGUGAGUAAUACAUAGGUAAUCUACCUUCGAGCUUGGGAUAACCCUGCGAAAGUGGGGCUAAUACCGGAUAAGACCACGUAAUUAUUUUACGGGGUAAAAGGUGGCUUAUUUUUUAAAUGAGCUAUCACUAGAGGAUGAGCCUGUGGCCUAUCAGCUUGUUGGUGGGGUAAGAGCCUACCAAGGCUAUGACGGGUAGCUGGUCUGAGAGGACGACUAGCCACACUGGGACUGAGACACGGCCCAGACUCCUACGGGAGGCAGCAGUGGGGAAUAUUGGGCAAUGGGCGAAAGCCUGACCCAGCGACGCCGCGUGGGCGAUGAAGGCCUUCGGGUUGUAAAGCCCUGUCAUGCGGAAAGAAUGACCCUGCGACGCAUAAUCGCAGGGAGUGACGGUACCGCAGGAGGAAGCACCGGCUAACUCCGUGCCAGCAGCCGCGGUAAUACGGAGGGUGCAAGCGUUGUUCGGAAUUAUUGGGCGUAAAGGGCGCGUAGGCGGUAAUGCUAGUCAGAUGUGAAAUACUCCGGCUCAACCGGGGAACUGCAUCUGAAACUGCAUAACUAGAGUACAGAAGAGGGAAACGGAAUUCCCGGUGUAGAGGUGAAAUUCGUAGAUAUCGGGAGGAACACCAGUGGCGAAGGCGGUUUCCUGGUCUGAUACUGACGCUGAGGCGCGAAAGUGUGGGGAGCAAACAGGAUUAGAUACCCUGGUAGUCCACACUGUAAACGGUGAACACUAGGUGUGGGAGGUGUAAUACCUUCCGUGCCGUAGCUAACGCGUUAAGUGUUCCGCCUGGGAAGUACGGCCGCAAGGUUGAAACUCAAAGGAAUUGACGGGGGCCCGCACAAGCGGUGGAGCAUGUGGUUUAAUUCGAUGCAACGCGAAGAACCUUACCAGGUCUUGACAUCCAGAGAACUCUGUGGAAACACGGGGGUGCCCUCGGGAGCUCUGAGACAGGUGGUGCAUGGUUGUCGUCAGCUCGUGUCGUGAGAUGUUGGGUUAAGUCCCGCAACGAGCGCAACCCUUGCUAUUAGUUGCUAACAGGUUAAGCUGAGCACUCUAAUGGGACCGCCCGUGACAAGCGGGAGGAAGGUGGGGACGACGUCAAGUCAUCAUGCCCUUUAUGCCCUGGGCGACACACGUGCUACAAUGGCCGGUACAGAGGGCGGCGAAAGCGCGAGCUGGAGCGAAUCCCCCAAAACCGGUCCCAGUUCGGAUCGCAGGCUGCAACUCGCCUGCGUGAAGUAGGAAUCGCUAGUAAUCACGGGUCAGCAUACCGUGGUGAAUACGUUCCCGGGCCU